GCGGGGGUGGCGAAAUUGGCAGACGCGCAGGUCUCAGAAGCCUGUGGGUAACUCCGUACGAGUUCAAGUCUCGUCCUCCGCACCA
rnacentral:tRNA from 1 species